CGCUGGUCAAACCCCCACAUCUGCUAACCCAGCUCGCGAGAGGGGGAGCCGGCGCGAGGACUUGGGAGACGGCGGCGCAGGAGUGAGGACCUAGGCCAUGACGUCGGCGCGAGGACCUGCAGGCGAAGACGCCGACGCGAGGUCCAGGAGGCGAAGCCCAGGCUGGUCUUGGUCGUAGUGGCCGCUCGACCACGUACGUCCCCGCCGCCGCCGCCGUGAGGUUCUGGAGGGGACGACGCCGGCGCGAGGUCUUGGAGGUCCCGGCUGCGCUUGGUCGUAAUGAUGGACGAACAGAGAGUUCGUGUAUUCCCUACGACAGCAAAAACGGCAUCAAUUAAGGCAGCCACGAUUCGAACAGUGAGCAUCAGGUUUAUUGUCUGUCUUGGGUGGUCAUUGUAGCAGUAGUGUUUGUACCGGACAACCUUCAGCCACCGUUGUUUACUUCCAACUCGCCGGCCAGCCACCAAGGUCUACCUCCUGUCUCGUUGGAUUGCCGGACAGCCGCUGUCGUCUACCUCGCGCCUCGCCGGACAGCACGGUCAUCAACCUCUUUCUCACCGGGCAGCCACCGCCGUCUACGUCUGCCUCAUAGUUAAUUGUGUGCUAGCAAUUCCUCCGGAGAACUUGUUAGGUUAUUCUAACUCUACCAUGUAUCCAUGAUCUUGUUUUCUGAAUAUGUAAUCUUUUUAGUGAUUUU